rnacentral:tRNA from 3 species
CGGGGUGUGGCGCAGCCUGGUAGCGCAUCUGCAUGGGGUGCAGAGGGUCGGAGGUUCGAAUCCUCUCACCCCGACCA